CACGCCCUCAGCUCUGCACCCACCCAGGGGACACCACAGACUGCACAGGAAGAGGGGGUCGCCAGACUCUCCCUGCCUUUACCACCUUGGCCCUGGCCCCUUCUCCUGCCUACCCAGCCCUGUGUGACCACAGUAGCGCAAGCGUGAAGAAUGCAUGGCUGAUAAGACAGAGGAUAAAACAGGCAACAGUUUAUCUC
rnacentral:lncRNA from 1 species